UCCGUUACACAAGGGCCCUUCAAUCCCCUAUCCAGUCUGCCACCGUAUCUAUAGUAGCCUAUCAGAGAUGGUGUAUAUAAACGCAAACUUGCUUCGUGGUUUUGUUGAAGAAAUUGUUGGCCAUCAUGCUCUUUUACCACUGGAUCGUCGUACUCUGUAGCUGUGCUGUCCAGGAUGGAAUAGCUAGCAGCACAUCAAACACAGUUAAGAAGUCAGUACUUGGCGGACACCAUUUGAUCAUUGGAACAAUACACAUUUCUCCGUAUAUUAUUAUCGAACGUUUUGGAACACGCAUCCGCCAUGUUAAUGGACACGUCCACCAAAUCAUUGAAUGGGUAGC